rnacentral:rRNA from 1 species
UUAUUAGUCGAAUUUUAAUAAGUAGAUAAGUAGUACCUUUCCGAAUUUGAAAGUGAAACGAUUUCGAGGUUUUCUUUACUGCAAGGGUUGCUUUGUGGAAAAAAAACCCGAUGCUAGAAG